GACGAACGCUGGCGGCGUGCCUAACACAUGCAAGUCGAGCGGGGCAGGGGCGGAUGGCAACUGAAGCCUCUACCUAGCGGCGGACGGGUGAGUAACGCGUGGGCAACCUGCCUCAAGGAUCGGGAUAACAGCUCGAAAGGGCUGCUAAUACCGGAUGCGCUCACGGCCUCGCAUGGGGCUGUGAGCAAAGGGGAAACCCGCCUUGAGAUGGGCCCGCGUCCCAUCAGCUAGUUGGUGAGGUGAAAGCUCACCAAGGCGACGACGGGUAGCCGGCCUGAGAGGGUGACCGGCCACACUGGGACUGAGACACGGCCCAGACUCCUACGGGGGGCAGCAGUGGGGGAUCUUGCACAAUGGGCGAAAGCCUGAUGCAGCGACGCCGCGUGAGCGAAGAAGGCCUUCGGUUGUAAAGCUCUGUCUGGAGGGACGGAAACAAAUGACGGUACCUCCGGAGGAAGCCACGGCGUAACUACGUGCCAGCAGCCGCGGUAAACAUACUCG
rnacentral:rRNA from 1 species